GAUGAACGCUAGCGAUAGGCCUAACACAUGCAAGUCGAGGGGCAGCACGGGAGUAGCAAUACAACUGGUGGCGACCGGCGCACGGGUGAGUAACGCGUAUGUAAUCUACCUACAACAGGGGGAUAACCCGGAGAAAUCCGGACUAAUACCGCAUAAAACAGGGGUCCCGCCUGGGACUAUUUGUUAAAGAUUUAUCGGUUGUAGAUGAGCAUGCGUUCCAUUAGAUAGUUGGUAAGGUAACGGCUUACCAAGUCAGCGAUGGAUAGGGGAACUGAGAGGUUUGUCCCCCACACUGGAACUGAGACACGGACCAGACUCCUACGGGAGGCAGCAGUGAGGAAUAUUGGUCAAUGGGCGAGAGCCUGAACCAGCCAAAUCGCGUGAAGGAAGACUGCCUUAUGGGUUGUAAACUUCUUUUACAGGGGAAUAAAAAGACAUACGAGUAUGUCAUUGCAUGUACCCUGUGAAUAAGCAUCGGCUAACUCCGUGCCAGCAGCCGCGGUAAUACGGAGGAUGCGAGCGUUAUCCGGAUUUAUUGGGUUUAAAGGGUGCGCAGGCGGGAUUUUAAGUCAGCGGUGAAAUACCAACGCUCAACGUUGGAACUGCCGUUGAAACUGGGAUUCUUGAGUAUAGAUGAAGUAGGCGGAAUUCGUUGUGUAGCGGUGACAUGCAUAGAUAUAACGAGGAACUCCGAUUGCGUAGGCAGCUUACUAAACUAUAACUGACGCUCAAGCACGAAAGCGUGGGGAUCAAACAGGAUUAGAUACCCUGGUAGUCCACGCCGUAAACGAUGAUUACUAGUUGUAUGCGAUAUGAUAGUAUGUGACUAAGCGAAAGCGAUAAGUAAUCCACCUGGGGGGUACGCCGGCAACGGUG
rnacentral:rRNA from 1 species